GCCAACCCAAAAACACAUCCACCCCCACCUACCCCAUCGUCUUCCUGCCCACCAGCCGCUCCCAGCCAAUCGCCCCACCGCGCACCUCCUUGCGGCUGUGCCGCCGGCGAUGUGCGGCGCUCCGGGCCACACGCCGCUAGCCUCCAGUAAAAAAAACACCCCAGAAAAUAGUCGUUUGGUAUAUUCUAUAUUCACAGGACGGCGGACUUGGCGACGGGGACGGCGCGGGAACUCGCCAGCCAGGAGGCUCCCGGCGGAGCUUGGCGUCUCCCUGUAGAAGGAAGCGGCUGCGGCGGCGGUCGGAGAGGUGGUUCAGAGCUCGGGCGUCCAUGGCGUUGGGGCUCCCAUAGAGAAGAAACGAGGGAGGGACAUGAGCAGAGAGAGGAAAAACAGAAGGAGGAGGGGGAUAGGAAGGGGAGAGCAAGAGAAGAAAAGAGCAGAGAGAAGGGCCGGCGCUCAUCUGCUGGCUCCGGCGAGCUGCGGCUGGGGUCCAUUGGAGGAGCGGCUCGAUGACGAGGAGAUGAGGCGCGGCGCACGAGGGAAGGAGGAGGGGAUCGACCCAAGGCGGGAGCUGUUGACGCACCAGCGCAGGGGUCACCAUCUAUCUUCGUCAGGUAAGCGCAGGCAUUCGUCUCUCUGUCGUCGUUGCGGUGCUUGGGUCGUUCUCCAGUUUCUGUCCACAGUCAUCACCAAGCUCGUGCCGCGCCAAUGCUACUGGGUCCUGGAUUGAUUCAGGUCGUUCUGCGAACACUGACGAGGAGCAUGUUAUGUGGUGACCUCCGUUCUCUAACGUGGAGAUACAUAGAUGGCGAACAUGGUUCCAGGGUCAUGAUGGUUGUUUUACACUCAUAAAGUUUUCCGGUUUUCCCUGACGUGUUCAUGACAUCUCCGCCCGGCCAUCUUCAAGAUCAACACGAAACUGCAAGACUUCCACAGGCCUGAUGCUCCUCGAUCACUAGCAAUGCAUGGCACGACCCGGAUUUAAUCUCCAAUUUUGCGCUACUGUGGUUAGUCGUUCUCAACCUCCCCUUAAUCUGAGAACCUACAAACACAGUCCUUUGCAAUUUUCCAUCUUCUAAUGCAGUAGCCAGAAGUAAGGAUCCCGGAAGCAAAAGGAUGAUUGGAGCAGGGUAAUACAAUCUUUUGUAUGGAAAGGCAAAUACGAUCUUCCUCUUCUCACUGCAUUGAAGAUCUUCAAUGCUUUUUGUAUGGUUUAGGGAGAGCAUGUGGAAGAAUGCUAUUAUUAUACAUAUUGGCUAUGAGGACGAGGCGUUCAGUCUAAAAUACGCGUGGAUGUAUCACAUUUCUAUUCUGGGCAGAUAAGUUCUCUAUAGAUACCUUGCUUGCAGCUAAUUUGGUUUGUUCAAGUAUGUGAUAUGUUCAUUCUAUUUUUUCCUCAUUCCCUGCUGCAGAAUAGCAUCAAUUACUCAUGAAAUCAUCUCCUAAAUUAAUUUGCUUCUAGCAUUCUUAGUUUUCUGAUCUAAGAAAAAUUUCUUUAUGUUUUGGUUGUGUGAUUAAAUUUUAACUUUUGUUGUCCACAUGUCCCGUUAUCAAAUCAUUUUCUUCUAAUGGAUUGUUCGCCUAUCUGAUGAAUUCGACUAACAUCAAGAUUGAAGGGACUUUUCAUGGACAUGUUCUCCAACCAAAUUUGGAAUUGAUUGAUUCUGCAGCCAAGCUACACAUAUAUGGAGACCGCUUCCACUGUAGGUGCUUUGGCGCUGUGUAUUUGCUUGUUGUAGAUGCUCUGCUUCCACUGUUUGCUGCUUUCGCGUGUAGCAAUUGGGUGGUUUGUAGCUGCUGAUGUAAUCCAAGAUGAAGCAGGCUCACAUGUGGACACUGCUUCUCGCUGGUGGAAAACAAUUAGCUGCAGAAUUUAGCAACAGAAGACACGCGCGUGGCCUACGGAGAGAAUAACACGCGCGGCAUGGCCAAGGAAGAGAAACGCGAGCGGCUGUCGUGGCUCUUGGCGGACACGAACGUCGCUUUGCACCACCAGGGUGGUCUGCUUGCAGUUCCUACUCCAGGUUUAUUGAUAAUGCUAUUUUUUCAUUCUAAACUCCGUUUAAAUUUCAGUUCAAAUUUAUAGUUUAAUGCUCUGUAGGGAGCACAGACAUUGUGCUAUAUAAUAAUCAUCUUUGAUGUGUGUACUGGAACCACCGGAUAAAAGUUGUUCUUUCAUUUGAAGGAUAGAUUUCGUUUGAUGGUUCAACAUUAAAUGUAGCUGGUACAAUCGGAUUUAGCAGACAAAAUGGGUGACCAAGCAUGGUGGUGUUGCACUUGCUUGCCUUGGCUAUGAGGAGAAAUUAUGUAAUGAAGUUAGUACUUUAUAAUGUACGCAGCCCAUUGCCGUGCUUA